rnacentral:tRNA from 8 species
GUAGAUAUAGUUUAACUAAAACAUUAGAUUGUGAAUCUAACCAUAGAGACUUACCACCUCUUAUUUACC